CUCUCCCAUUCACACCCACUCAGCCUAUGGGGUAGAGACAAGACUGUGGCAUCACAGGCAGACACACCCCACUUGGACCAGAGGAGUCCAAGCACCGAAACAGCCUCAAGCCGGGAGAAGGCCCAAUCCAGCCCUGACUCCGCCAUGGGCCCCGGGACAGUGUGGUUAGUGGCCGUAUGUGUCCUGGGAGCAGGUCCUGUGGACGCCGAAGUCACGCAGACCCCCAGACACCUGGUCACCAGCCAGGGACAGAACGUGACUCUGAGUUGUGUGCCUAUUUCCUCGCACUCUGUACUGUUCUGGUACCGGCAGCGCAUGAGGAAAGGAUUGGAGUUAGUGAUGUUCAUCCAGAACAAACAGAUCAUACAGGGAAUGCAAUCUAAUGAUAGCUCUCGGUUCUCCAUCUCGUGGUUCCAAAAAAAUUCCUGCCACCUGCACGUGAAGCACAGCUCGACCAGCGACUCGGCAGUUUACCUAUGUGCCAGCAGUUAG